AGGGAGCCCUAGCACAGGUGCUGCAUGGCCGUCGUCAGCUCGUGCCGUGAGGUGUUGGGUUAAGUCCCGCAACGAGCGCAACCCCCGCCGUUAGUUGCCAGCGGUUCGGCCGGGCACUCUAACGGGACUGCCCGCGAAAGCGGGGAGGAAGGAGGGGACGACGUCUGGUCAGCAUGGCCCUUACGGCCUGGGCGACACACGUGCUACAAUGCCCACUACAAAGCGAUGCCACCCGGCAACGGGGAGCUAAUCGCAAAAAGGUGGGCCCAGUUCGGAUUGGGGUCUGCAACCCGACCCCAUGAAGCCGGAAUCGCUAGUAAUCGCGGAUCAGCCAUGCCGCGGUGAAUACGUUCCCGGGCCUU
rnacentral:rRNA from 1 species